rnacentral:rRNA from 1 species
AUUGAACGCUGGCGGCAGGCCUAACACAUGCAAGUCGAGCGGAGCGGCGGACGGGUGAGUAAUGCCUAGGAAUCUGCCUGGUAGUGGGGGAUAACGUCCGGACACGGGCGCUCAUACCGCAUACUAUCAGAUGAGCCUAGGUCGGAUUAGCUAUUUGGUGGGGUAAAGGCCUACCAAGGCGACGAUCCGUAACUGGUCUGAGAGGAUGAUCAGUCAAACUGGAACUGAGACACGGGCCAGAUUCCGACGUGAGGCAGCAGUGGGGAAUAUUGGACAAUGGGCGAAAGCCUGAUACAGCCAGGCCGCGUGUGUGAAGAAGGUAUUCGGAUUGUAAAGCACGUUAAGUUGGGAGGCGUUACCAACAGAAUAAGCACCGGCUAACUUCGUGCCAGCAGCCGCGGUAAGUC